rnacentral:rRNA from 1 species
AGAAUCAACGCUGGCGGCGUGCCUCAGACAUGCAAGUCGAACGCGAAAGUCCCCUUCGGGGGACAAGUAGAGUGGCGCACGGGUGAGUAACACGUAGGUAAUCUACCUUCGGAUGGGGAAUAACAACCGGAAACGGUUGCUAAUACCGCAUAAUGCAGCGGCACCUAAUGGUGACAGUUGUUAAAGCGGGGGAUCGAAAGACCUCGCGUCUGAAGAGGAGCCUGCGGCGGAUUAGCUAGUUGGUAGGUAACGGCCUACCAAGGCGACGAUCCGUAGCC